rnacentral:rRNA from 1 species
UACGUAGGUGGCAAGCGUUGUCCGGAUUUACUGGGCGUAAAGAGCGCGCAGGCGGUCGUUCAAGUCGCGUGUGAAAGCCCCCGGCUCAACUGGGGAGGGUCACGCGAUACUGAUCGACUCGAAGGCAGGAGAGGGUAGUGGAAUUCCCGGUGUAGUGGUGAAAUGCGUAGAUAUCGGGAGGAACGACCAGUGGCGAAGGCGACUACCUGGCCUGUUCUGACGCUGAGGCGCGAAAGCUAGGGAGCAACGGG